rnacentral:rRNA from 1 species
AGAUUGAACGCUGGCGGCAUGCCUUACACAUGCAAGUCGAACGGCAGCGCGGGGCAACCUGGCGGCGAGUGGCGAACGGGUGAGUAAUAUAUCGGAACGUACCCUGGAGUGGGGGAUAACGCAGCGAAAGUUGCGCUAAUACCGCAUACGAUCUAAGGAUGAAAGCAGGGGACCGCAAGGCCUUGUGCUCCUGGAGCGGCCGAUAUCUGAUUAGCUAGUUGGUGGGUAAAGGCCUACCAAGGCAUCGAUCAGUAGCUGGUCUGAGAGGACGACCAGCCACACUGGAACUGAGACACGGUCCAGACUCCUACGGGAGGCAGCAGUGGGGAAUUUUGGACAAUGGG